rnacentral:rRNA from 1 species
UACGUAGGGGGCAAGCGUUAUCCGGAUUUACUGGGUGUAAAGGGAGCGUAGACGGCAUGGCAAGCCAGAUGUGAAAUACCGGGGCUCAACCCCGGGACUGCUUUUGAAACUGUAUGGCUAGAUUGCAGGAGAGGCAAGUGGAAUUCCUAGUGUAGCGGUGAAAUGCGUAGAUAUUAGGAGGAACACCAGUGGCGAAGGCGGCCUGCUGGACUGUAACUGACGUUGAGGCUCGAAAGCGUGGGGAGCAAACAGG